rnacentral:misc_RNA from 1 species
GUUGCUUUUUAACUAUAAAUCACGGAAAUUGAGUAGUUGUCUUUUUACACUUUUGCUUCACUGCCUCAUAAAAAAUAACAAAUAAAUAAAUCUUGGUACUUGUAUCAAUGGUGUCAAAAGAUGCAUUUCUCUCUUUCACUAUGAGUUUAUGACUGAACCUUUGAGAUUCAUAAAAGAGGUUGCUGACCAAAGUUUUUCCUUGAAAAUAAUGUCCCAUGAGAUGAGGAAGCUUUUUAUUUUAUAUUUUGUUUAGAAAAGAAUGUAUAUCAUUUUUGGGGAGAACAGGUUUUAGCUGCAACUGUGAUUUGACUGAUUGUAUAUAUCCUAGUGAAUAACUGAGCUUUCU